rnacentral:rRNA from 1 species
UACGAAGGGAGCUAGCGUUGUUCGGAAUCACUGGGCGUAAAGCGCACGUAGGCGGAUUUGUCAGUCAGGGGUGAAAUCCCGGGGCUCAACCUCGGAACUGCCUUUGAUACAGCAAGUCUUGAGUUCGAGAGAGGUGGGUGGAAUUCCUAGUGUAGAGGUGAAAUUCGAUAGAUAUUCGCAAGAACACCAGUGGCGAAGGCGGCUCACUGGCCCGGUACUGACGCUGAGGUGCGAAAGCGUGGGGAGCAAACAGG